CGUAGGGGGCAAGCGUUAUCCGGAUUUACUGGGUGUAAAGGGAGCGUAGACGGCGAUACAAGUCUGAAGUGAAAGCCCGGGGCUCAACCCCGGGACUGCUUUGGAAACUGUGUUGCUGGAGUGCUGGAGAGGCAAGCGGAAUUCCUAGUGUAGCGGUGAAAUGCGUAGAUAUUAGGAAGAACACCAGUGGCGAAGGCGGCUUGCUGGACAGUAACUGACGUUGAGGCUCGAAAGCGUGGGGAGCAAA
rnacentral:rRNA from 1 species